AGAGGAGACAGGCCACAGACCGUUUUGCUUCCAGCUCUUUCACAAGGGGAGAAUGAACUCGCUUCCCCAGGGCUCUUACAGCGUACAGGGAACCUCUCAUACAAAGUCCUGAAACGCAGUUUGUUUCCAGCCAUGAUCUCGCCACCUUGGAACUUCUGCUCUAAGCCAUGUCCUACAUUGCUCUAGAGGUGGAAGUGACAAAGAGCUGAGUCAUUGCCUCCAAAGGAGACAAUCCACAAACGGUCUUGCUUCCAUUUCUUUGGGAUGCUAAGAGACAACUCACUCUCCACAGUGCUCUUUCAACCUUCCAGCAACAUCUCGCACAAAGUCCCAUGAAAUGCAGUUUCUCUCCAGCCCUGAUCUCGCUGAAGUAGAACUUCUGCUCUGCCAUGUCCUACAUUGCCCUAGAGGUGCAAGGCACAAUGUCCUGCCUUGUUUCCUCAAGGGGAGAAAGGCCACAAAGCCUCUUCCUUCCAGCUCUUUGGGAACCUAAGAAACAACUCGCUCUCCACAGUGCUCUUGCAGCCUACCGGGAACAUCUCUCUCAAAGGCCUGUGAAAUGCAGUUUCUUCCCAG
rnacentral:lncRNA from 1 species